rnacentral:rRNA from 1 species
AGAGUUUGAUCAUGGCUCAGAGCGAACGCUGGCGGCAGGCUUAACACAUGCAAGUCGAGCGGGCACCUUCGGGUGCCAGCGGCAGACGGGUGAGUAACACGUGGGAACGUGCCCUUUGGUUCGGAACAACUCCGGGAAACUGGAGCUAAUACCGGAUAAGCCCUUCGGGGGAAAGAUUUAUCGCCAAAGGAUCGGCCCGCGUCUGAUUAGCUUGUUGGUGAGGUAAUGGCUCACCAAGGCGACGAUCAGUAGCUGGUCUGAGAGGAUGAUCAGCCACACUGGGACUGAGACACGGCCCAGACUCCUACGGGAGGCAGCAGUGGGGAAUAUUGGACAAUGGGCGCAAGCCUGAUCCAGCCAUGCCGCGUGAGUGAUGAAGGCCCUAGGGUUGUAAAGCUCUUUCGGCGGGGACGAUAAUGACGGUACCCGCAGAAGAAGCCCCGGCUAACUUCGUGCCAGCAGCCGCGGUAAUACGAAGGGGGCUAGCGUUGCUCGGAAUCACUGGGCGUAAAGGGCGCGUAGGCGGCCAUUCAAGUCAGGGGUGAAAGCCUGUGGCUCAACCACAGAAUUGCCUUUGAUACUGUUUGGCUAGAGACCGGAAGAGGUAAGUGGAACUGCGAGUGUAGAGGUGAAAUUCGUAGAUAUUCGCAAGAACACCAGUGGCGAAGGCGGCUUACUGGUCCGGUUCUGACGCUGAGGCGCGAAAGCGUGGGGAGCAAACAGGAUUAGAUACCCUAGUAGUCC